GUGGUGGAUCAACUCGUCCUUCUAGUUCCUCAGCUACCGCAGUUGCACCACUUCAGGCUCGUGGUCCUCAUAAUCAGACUGGGCAGAGGGCAAGCAGAGGUGCAGAUCGAGUUACUUAGGGAGGGGGACAACCCCGUUUUUUGCUACACUUGAUCGUCAGAGUGCAGAGGCAUCUGCAAAAGUUAUUACAGGUAUACUUUGUCUUCUCACAUAAUGCUUAUGCCAUAAUGGAUCCAGGUACAACGUUUUUAUAUGUGAUUUCAUA
rnacentral:lncRNA from 1 species